rnacentral:rRNA from 1 species
GACGAACGCUGGCGGCGGGCUUAACACAUGCCAGUCGAACGGAAAGGCCCUGCUUUCGUGGGGUGCUCGAGGGCCGAAUGGGGGAGUAACACGUGAGUAACCUGCCCUUGACUUUCGGAUAACUUCAGGAAACUGGGGCUACUCCCGUAUAGGAUCUCCUGCUGCAUGGUGGGGGUUGGAAAGUUUCGGCGGUUGUGGAUGGACGCGCGGCUUAUCAGCUUGUUGGUUGGGGAGUGGCUUACCAAGGCUUUGACGGAUAGCCGGCAUGAGAGGGUGACCGGCCACAUUAGGACUGAGAUACGGACCAGACUCCUACGGGAGGCAGCAGUGGGGAAUAUUGCCCAAUGGGCGGACGCCUGAUGCAGCAACGCCGCGUGCGGAAUGACGGCCUUCGGGUUGUAAACCGCUUUAGCCUGUGACGAAGCGUGAGUGACGGUAACGGGUAAAGAAGCACCGGCUAACUACGUG